UGUACGACUGAGGAACAAGUCUCCCCCCCAAAGAAUGCCAUUUUGCCCCUGCACCUAUCGAAGAACCUACUUUUGGUCUGGCCACACAUACGUAAACUUCAAUCCAAUCUCAGCACAACUGCAAAUGCCGUCACUUUCGAGACUGUUCCGUUAGUUUCCGGAUGAUGAGAGCUAAGAGUCGGUUUGUGUCCAGGCAUAACGGCUCGGUUCCAGUUCUGCUCAGUGAAUAUCACCAGCAAUUUUAUAUUAUUACAAACUCUGUUGUAUACCCAAAUGGCCGUCACCUUUUGACUUUACAAACGAUUCAGGAAAACGAAACUACAGAGUGCAGUUGCCCAACAUCUCCAUCGAUGUGGGCAUCCAGCUAUGCAUUUCUGCUUGUAUUGGAGACUCGGGCUCAGGUUGCAUGAACCAGUCGCUUUUGGAACAGGCU